GCUUAACACAUGCAAGUCGAACGAUGACUUUUGUGCUUGCACAAAAUGAUUAGUGGCAAACGGGUGAGUAACACGUGAGUAACCUGCCCUUAACUUCGGGAUAAGCCUGGGAAACCGGGUCUAAUACCGGAUACAACGGAUCUCCGCAUGGCGGUCCGUGGAAAGCUUGAUGCGGAUUUGGAUGGACUCUCGGCCUAUCAGCUAGUUGGUUGGGGAAAUGGCCCACCAAGGCGACGACGGGUAGCCGGCCUGAGAGGGUGACCGGCCACACUGGGACUGACACACGGCCCAGACUCCUACGGGAGGCAGCAGUGGGGAAUAUUGCACAAUGGGCGACAGCCUGAUGCAACUACGCCGCGUGAGGGACAAAGGCCUUCAGGUUGUAAACCUCUUUCAGCAUGGAAUAAGCUAAAGUGACGGUACCUGCAGAAUAAGCGCCGGCUAACUACUUGCCAUCAGCCUCGGUAAUACGUAGGGCGCAAGCGUUAUCAGGAAUUAUUGCGCGUAAAGAGCUCCUAAGCGGUUUGUUGAAUUUUGUGUUAAAACCCCCGGGUUAACCCCCGGGUGUGCCGUGGGUACGGGCAGAAUAGAGUUGUAUAGGGGAGAAGGGAAUUUCCGGUGUAACGGUUAAAAGGGCAAAUAUCAGGAGGAACCCCCAGGGGGAAGGCAGGUUUUUUGGUAUUAAAUUAACAUGAGGAGCUAAACCCUGGUAAGCGAACAGGAUUAGAUUCCAUGGUAGUCCAUGCCGUAAACGUUGGGCACUAGGUGUGGGGGACAUUACACGUUUUCCGCGCCGUAGCUAACGCAUUAAGUGCCCCGCCUGGGGAGUACGGCCGCAAGGCUAAAACUCAAAGGAGUUGACGGGGGCCCGCACAAGCGGCGGAGCAUGCGGAUUAAUUCGAUGCAACGCGAAGAACCUUUUCAAGGCUUGACAUGAACCGGAAAGGCCUGGAAACAGGUCCCCCACUUGUGUCCGGUUUACAGGUGGUGCAUGGUUGUCGUCAGCUCGUGUCGUGAGAUGUUGGGUUAAGUCCCGCAACGAGCGCAACCCUCGUUUUAUGUUGCCAGCGGGUAAUGCGGGGGACUCAUAGGAGACUGCCGGGGUCAACUCGGAGGAAGGUGGGGAUGACGUCAAAUCAUCAUGCCCCUUAUGUCUUGGGCUUCAGGCAGGCUACAAUGUCUGGUACAAAGGGUUGGGAUACUGGGAGGUGGAGCUAAUCCCUAAAAGCCGGUCUCAGUUGGGAUUGAGGUGUGCAACUCGACUUCAUGAAGUUGGAGUCGUUAGUAAUCGCAGAUCAGCAACGUUGCGGUGAAUACGUUCCCGGUCCUUGCACUCACCGCCCGUCAAG
rnacentral:rRNA from 1 species